GGAAAGGAAAUAAAGUGGUAAUUUCUGGUUACUUUUCCAUCAUUACCAAACAUGAGAAAUGAGUCUUCCAUUUCUCAUCCAUUUGAAAAAAGACAUGAAAAAUUAUUUCCCUUUGAAUAUUUUCUACUAACCAAACGGGGCCUAAAUGCAUUUUAAUUUGGUGGCUAAUUUUCAUGUGUUGUAUGAUCUGUUGGGUUGUAUGUUGUGCCAUCAUUUUGCGUAGUUCUCAUUUCCAUUUUGGUCAUUUCACACAUAAGUUUCAUAUCAUAAUAAUAAAUCUUGCUGACUUGGGUAACGCGAGUUGGACAGGGCAGUGGGCCCGGCCUAAAGUUCGAAUUCCCCUCCUUGUAAUGUAGAGUAUAUCGCUUGUAUAAAAAAUUAAAUCCUCUCCCCAUAUUUUUUUUUACUAAGGUAGGGAUGUUCAAAC
rnacentral:lncRNA from 1 species